rnacentral:lncRNA from 1 species
AGAACGUAUCUUGUCUUGUACGCUGCUCCUCUUCCUUCAGCUUCUUUAGCGAUGGCGAUAUUCUCUCUCUCUGUCUCGUUCUCUGUCACGAUCUCUGUCACGAUCACGAUGUCUCUCUCUUUCUCGGCUUCGUUCCCGAUAAUAGUCAUCGUGACGAUCUCUGCUACGUGAUUUAUGGCGUCUGCUUUUUUCUCGUGACCUACUGUGGUCCCUCUCCCUGGAUCGUUCACGUCUGGAUCCAGAACCAUAGGACUUGGACUCAAUUCCAUGAAGGCAGUCUUGAAGAGAGCUAAUAAGUACUUUACAACGAUCAUCAGCAGAUACUUUGGACUGUUUAAUUAAGGAAAUGGCAGUUACCAGGGUCUCUAUAGCACUUCCAUAGUCCCCAGCACUGGCAUCUGAUACAGCUCUUGAAAUGGCACUGCUUGAGAUUGCCCUAUUUCUGUUCAUGAUUUCUUCAAAUUCUGCUUCACUUAAAGGUGUCCUUGCAGCAUCCAUCUCUCUCCCUGAGUUUUGAGUAUUAUUUUUCGUGUGCCUCCCAUAGAAUGGAAUAUGUAAUUUUUCUCUUAUGGACAUGUUAUUUCCAGUGAAACGCCUAUGAUAUAUAAUUAAUGACAAUUUAAAUAGUUACGGAUGAUAGUCUUAACAUUAUUAAUGAAAAUAGUGGACAGAACUUAUUCUGUCCUAUCCCCA